rnacentral:rRNA from 1 species
CCAAUAGCGUAUAUUAAAGUUGUUGCAGUUAAAAAGCUCGUAGUUGAAUUUCGGGAUCAACAUAUCGGUCGUGUCCCUGUACGUACUGGUAUCAUUGAUUUCUCAUUUCUGACGAACAAUGAUGUCAUUAAUUUGGUGUAAUAGGGAGUUAGGACUGUUACUUUGAAAAAAUUAGAGUGUUUAAAGCAGGCAUUAGCUUGAAUACAUUAGCAUGGAAUAAUGAAAUAGGACGUUUGACCUUAUUUUGUUGGUUUCUAGGAUCGACGUAAUGAUUAAUAGGGAUAGUUGGGGACAUUAGUAUUCAAUUGUCAGAGGUGAAAUUCUUGGAUUUAUUGAAGACUAACUACUGCGAAAGCAUUUGCCAAGGAUGUUUUCAUUAAUCAAGAACGAAAGUUAGGGGAUCGAAGACGAUCAGAUACCGUCGUAGUCUUAACCAUAAACUAUGCCGACUAGGGAUUGGAUGAUGUUAAUUUUAUAAUGACUUAUUCAGUGCCUUACG